rnacentral:rRNA from 1 species
UACGUAGGGGGCAAGCGUUGUCCGGAAUCAUUGGGCGUAAAGAGCGCGUAGGCGGCCCAGUAAGUCCGCUCUGAAAGUCAGGGGGCUCAACCCCUGAAUGCGGGUGGAUACUGCUGGGCUAGAGUCCGGAAGAGGCGAGUGGAAUUCCUGGUGUAGCGGUGAAAUGCGCAGAUAUCAGGAGGAACACCGAUGGCGAAGGCAGCUCGCUGGGACGGUACUGACCGCUGAGGCGCGAAAGCGUGGGGAGCAAACAGGAUAGAAA